rnacentral:rRNA from 1 species
UACGUAGGGUGCGAGCGUUGUCCGGAAUUAUUGGGCGUAAAGCGCUUGUAGGCGGUUUGUCGCGUCUGCUGUGAAAAUCCGGGGCUCAACUCCGGACUUGCAGUGGGUACGGGCAGGCUAGAGUGUGGUAGGGGAGACUGGAAUUCCUGGUGUAGCGGUGGAGUGCGCAGAUAUCAGGAGGAACACCGAUGGCGAAGGCAGGUCUCUGGGCCACUACUGACGCUGAGAAGCGAAAGCAUGGGGAGCGAACAGG